rnacentral:lncRNA from 1 species
UCAACCGAAUGUGUUUUUUUUUGUCCAAAAUUUCCUCUCCCUUCUCAAGUCUUUGCGGCUCUAUCUCUUCUUGUUCCUUCGAUUCUUCAUUGUGUCCCGUUGGUAAGGGAACAUAUUGAGCGACGGGGUCUCCAUGGAACCAUCGUAAAAGAGAAACGUGGAAGACAGGGUGAACUCAUGUGGAUGCUGGAAGAGCCAAUUCAUAGGCGACAGGACCAAUCUUGCGAGUCACACGGUAAGGACCAAAGUAACGUGGUGCAAGUUUGUGAGAGGUUCGGCGCA